CCUACGGGUGGCAGCAGUGAGGAAUAUUGGUCAAUGGACGAGAGUCUGAACCAGCCAAGUAGCGUGAAGGAUGACUGCCCUAUGGGUUGUAAACUUCUUUUAUAUGGGAAUAAAAUGUUCCACGUGUGGGUUUUUGUAUGUACCUUAUGAAUAAGGAUCGGCUAACUCCGUGCCAGCAGCCGCGGUAAUACGGAGGAUCCGAGCGUUAUCCGGAUUUAUUGGGUUUAAAGGGAGCGUAGGUGGAUUGUUAAGUCAGUUGUGAAAGUUUGCGGCUCAACCGUAAAAUUGCAGUUGAGACUGGCAGUCUUGAGUACAGUUGAGGUGGGCGGAAUUCGUGGUGUAGCGGUGAAAUGCUUAGAUAUCACGAAGAACUCCGAUUGCGAAGGCAGCUCACUGGACUGCAACUGACACUGAGGCUCGAAAGUGUGGGUAUCAAACAGGAUUAGAUACCCUAGUAGUC
rnacentral:rRNA from 1 species